AGAUAGAUUUUUAGAAAUUCUGCUACUUUUUGUUAACAAAUCCUUGAGUUGGAAGAGACUCCAAAGGCCAUCUAGUUCAACCGCAUUCUGACCUGCAAGAAGACCUUAUCAAAGUUCUCCCAACAGAUAGCUAUCCAACCUUUGCUUAAAAGCUUCCAGAGAAAUGUCACUUCAUUGAAAGGCCAUCCAAUUCAACUUCCUUCCUUCCAUUAUCGAAACACUCCCUAUAGAUUAUCAAGGCAGAAUAGGCGUGUGAUUUAUAGUUUUUCCCAAUCAUGCCCUUCCUGGAUAGACUGUGCAGUGGACUGAAUGUCUCAAAGGCAAACUGAAACAAAACACAGCAGAGUCCUUAUCAGUUGUCAGCAGAGUGUUACCACACUGUCUGACCUUGUGCUGCUCACUGUUUAGAAAAACUCUCUGAUUCAGUUUUCAUCCAAACUCAGAGGAAGCUUUUAAUCUUGACACAUUGAUCUCUGUACAAAAUAUAAACACACAGAUCAGGAUCCCCAGAUCUCCUAUCAGUGGGUGGCAUAUAGAGUGAUACACUCACAACGCAGGUAACAGAUAUCAGUAACAGAUAUAUGGCAAGAGAUUUCACAAGGCAAGAAGACAAGAGAAUCAAGGCAAGAGAAAGAACAACACACUUCCUGUUCUCUUUUAUACCCACUAUUUUCUUGUCAUCAAUCACGGACAAAAGUGAAUGAUGUAACCCUCGUCAUGAAUGUCACAUGGUCAUGACUCAGCUUCUUCAGCAUGUCCCUUAAGUUACACGUCACUUAAUCAUUCAAUAGGUGUGUGACUACAUGUCCAUUAGAACUGUAUUUUCCAUCGGUUUCACACAAUAAGGUUACAGCCAAUGCAUUCCUAUCUAACAAUGCAUUAUCUAUUUAACACUGAUGGCUAUCCAGCCUCUGUCUGAAGACCUCCAGAGAAGGACUCCCAGGCAGCGGUGGAUUUCGUGGUCAAACAAAGCUCUUUGGCCCUCAAGAGGUUCUUCCUAAUGUCCUGUGCCCCUCAUCACCAACAGAGGGCAGGCUUUAAUGUUUCCUUUGCCAUCUCCAUCUCACAUGGAAUGAAGCCCAUUCCAAACAUCUCCCCUUGAUGUCCCUACCAUCUUGGUCAUUAUUUGGGAUGAAACAUGAUUUUGGAGGGCAGCCCAAAUGCUAACCAAAGAUAGAGACUCCACCACCCUCCAAAGUAGCAUAGUCAACUGUUGAACAAUUGUGUCCUGUUUUGUCUUUCAAGAACAGCCUUAAAACAUUCAGACAAAGAAACAGCAAUAAAUCCUUAGGAACAGUUUCCCAGAUGCAGACUUGAAGCAGGCACAAGGGAAGCAAAGAGUACGUUUGUUACCAGCAAGAGCUGGCUUCACCUGCUUCUGCUUUAUAGCCCUGAGUCCCCUCCCAGAUGCGAGGGCAGUUCCUAGUUACUCAGCUGCAUUUUUGGAAGCUAUUCUAGCUGAACGACGUCUCUGCUCUGUUUCCUUUCGCUUUUCUGAAAUGUGGGUACUUGCAAAAUCUCCUCCUCAGAUUCCAACCCACCCUCAGAUUCAUGAACACUUUCCUGCUCCCUCUUCUUCAGAAGAGGAAUCCCUAACAAGUUAUUACUCUCAGGAAAAUACAAAAUGAGAAGAUGUGCAAAUACAAAUUAGUGGAAAAGAGAUUCCAUUUCCAUAUAAACGUUAGGAAGAACUUCUUGAUGGUCAGCGCUGUUCAACUAUGCAAUUCGCUGCUGUGAAGUCUCGUUCUCUGAAGGUUUUUAAGCAGAGGCUGGAUGGGCAUCUGUCAGGGGGGCUUCAAUUGUGGCAAAAGGGGUCGAACCAGAUGACCAUUCAAGUUCCUUCCAACUCUAUGAGCAAUUAAUGUAUGUGUAAGUCUCUCUGUAGAAUUAUAUGCCAUGAAGCAUCCCAGCUAUUGCCUCUCAUCCUCCUGGCAGCUCUGGUUUAGACAAGUGAGAAGAUUGUUUACAACGUCUCUGUAGGCAGUCAGCGAGAAAUACCGUUCCUUUGGUGCUCAAUUAUUUACAGCUUGUUUGGGGGAACCCAAGGCUUGAAGGGCCCAAGAAGCCUAAGAAAUAUAGAUCCGGCCUUGAGUGGUUGGGUUUCCUUGCCAGCUGAAGCGUUUGAUCACAAUCACGAGUGUGGCCUGGCUGCACAAGGGGGUCUCCGUGGAGAGAAGCUCAGCCAAAGCCCGGCUCACUAGCUGCUGUCCAUCAUGAAGGAAAUGGUCCUGCCUCGGAUACCCAACAAUCCCUUAAUUGGGCCAACCCAAUAUUGCAAAGCACGUCAUCCAUUGGCAUCUUCAUUAAGAUACUGAAAAAUCUUAUUAGAGACGGGAGAAAAUCACAGUGUUAGAGUCAUAGCCCUACGUUUUGUCAAUAUGUUGCUUUUGGUCAAUUAAGAUGGAUCCAGAAGGGUCUUAGUACAGGCAGAGGUCACUCUCCUUUUUGGGUAUGUAUUUAUUUAAUUUAUUUAUGUAUUUGCAUUGGUGAGUUAAUGUAGUUUGACACAAUUGCUAUGGCUCAAUGCAAUGAAAUCUUAGGACUCGUAGUUUUGCAAGGUAUUUAUUUAUUUGUUUGUUUGUUUACUAUAUUUACUGUAUAUACUCGAGUAUAAGCUGACCCGAAUAUAAGCCGAGGCACCUAAUUUUACCACAACAACUCGGAAAACUUAUUGACUCGAGUAUAAGACGAGGGUGGGAAAUGCAGCAGCUAAGGGUCAAAUUCAAAAAUAAAAAUAGAUAUUAAUAAAAUUGCAUUAUUUGAGGCAUCAGUAGGUUAAAUGUUUUUGAAUAUUUAUAUAAAACUUUAAUAAGAUAAGACUGUCCGGCUGUUAGGAAUUGUGGGAGUUGUAGUCCAAAACACUUGGAGGGCUGAAGUUGGCUCAUGCCUGGUCUGGAUUGAUGGAAGUAAUAUUAUCCAGACCUCACUUGGGAUAAUCCUAUGUUAGGAAGGUGUUUGUAUAGCGGAACCAGCAACGUCCAGUUAACACCAUGUGCCAAAGACUCAGACCAGGCAGAGGAAUUGAAAGAACAAAGGAACUUUACUUGUUGAGUAGAAGUCAAACAAACAGUUCAGCAAUCGUACAAUGUCCUUGUAGUUGCAUAGGAUCAAUAACUAAUCAAUCAGCAUUCAAUAUAUCCAGCAUAGCAUAUUUAAACUGCUACUUGACUGUAGCUAGAGAGCUUCUCCAUUUCUGUGCUCUCCUUGCAAGCUCAGAUUCUCCAACUGACAAAUCCAGCCAUCUGCCAGCAAACUGAUACAUUGUUUGAGGCGUGGCUUACCUCUGCAAAAAGAGCUCAGCUCUCCUUUUGCAGAGAUCUCUUGCAAACAUCUUUGCAAGGAUUUCUUUACACACACGCAUAUAGCAAUUUGGCGCAAUAAGUAAUAUUAUCCAGACCUCACUUGGGAUAAUCCUGUGUCCAAAUCUGGGCACCAAAAUCCAAGAAGAAUGAAAGUUCUCCUCUACUUUGGACUGACCAUCGGACGGAGGCCACAGGGGAGCAUCCAUUGGCGUGUUUCCAGUUCUCAAGAGUUGCUUUGAGCGGAAGCAGAAUGACUUGCGAUGACUGAUGGAACAAAUGGAGUUGGGAGAUCACUUGGUUGAUUAAAAUCUAAUUAACUCAUUACAGUUGAUUUAUGGCAUUAUUGUUAAAUUAUUAAUCUACCCUAUUAUCCAAAGGAGCCUUAAGGCAGUUCCCAACAAUUACUAAACAAUUCAUUAAUGGCGGUUGCGCUUCAAUAUUUGCACGUAUUAAUUGCUUGUCUUUGCAGGUCUUGCUGGCUAAUGGCUCUGAUUAUCACCCAGACCCCAUCGGCCAGGCAGGAAGGCAGGAGCGGGUCUAUAGCAGAGACGAAAAGUUUUGGAAGAAUGGAGGGUAGCGUGGAAAUCAAGGAAGCUUCGACAGAUGCCCUGAAUUUGCAAGGCCCGAGCAGAACAUUUGAGAACUAGAGCUCAUGGAGGUCUCUUGACUUCAUGGCAUAUAUCAGCAUCAAAGUGGAAGGCAGUAGGAACAACAGAGGAAGAACACAUUACAGGCGGAUCAAGAAGGCAGGGACUGAGUAGGGCAUGGCCACUGAUUCCCAAUAUACAUAUCUCAAAGUUCUCUUGUGGGAGAAAAUGGACCUGUCAAAAUGUCUUCCAGACCUUUGACCAUUUUGGUGGCCCUUCUCUGGACCGCUCCCAUCCUGUCUAUAUCCAUGAAGACCGCAAAUAAAGACAGUAAAUAAAGACAUCAAAACAGUAAAUAAGGAACACAGCUCAAAAACAGGGGAAUUCCAGAUAGCAAACAAUCAAGUGCCAGUUAACACAUCCCAAACAAAGGAUUUCCCCAGGCAAAAACAGCCCGGCUUUCCAGCUGCAAAGCUACUCAGUGCUAAUCAAGCUGGCCAAUUGCAACAUUCACACUUGCUUCAAACAUACAUGGGUUCUUUCUCGCACACUGGACAUCAUUCCACACGUAUAUAUGUCAGGGAAUCAGCGACCCUGACUUGAUUGAUGAGCUAGCCCUCAGCUCACUACCAGACCACUCUGCAAACAGCGAAAGUGGCACUGACAAAGAACGACAGCUUCGUUGAUUUAUGUCUGCUGAAGACAGCGGCACUAAGGCUUUAUUUACAAUAUUUACACUGCUAGUUGACCAAAACUAUCUGGACACAUGUUGCAUCCACACGGACAAACAUGGAGGUCAGUCUCUUUCCAAAGUCGGUUUUCUGUGCACACGAAGCACCUCCUCUGCAUUCCAUGGCUUAUGGUGUAUCUUCCUGUCAUGUAACACAAACGGAAGACCUUGCCAUUUGCCCUUCCAGCAAUUAAUCAGCAAUUAACAGCCAGUAGGCUGUCAGGAAUGGUGGGAGUUGAAGUCCAAAACAUCUGGAGGGCCCAAGUUUUCCUAGGCCUGAUCUACACUGUAGAAUCAAUGCAGUUUGACGCCACUUUAAUUGCCAUGGCUCAGUGUUGUGGGAUCAUGGGAUUGGUAGUUUGGCUCAAGACUUUAUAAAAGUGCAACUCUCCUAGCACAGAUCCAUGACAGAUAAAGUGGAGCCAAACUGCAUUAAUUCUACGGUGUACAUGCACCCCUUGAUGCUUGAUAUUUGGGUCACAGGGAUCAGUACCCUGGGUAAUUCUUUUUUUAAAAAAAAUUGGCUAAUCCCAGAACAGACGGACACUUGGAUUUGCGUCUGACCCACAGCUUUAGUUUAGAAUUAUACAAUGAAACACAUGCCUUGAUUUCCCAAAAGCGACCCAACAUCUUCUGAACAAGGAAGACAGAUCUUGGCAUAUCUCCAUUCCGCACAAUGCUCAACAAUUGCCCAGAGUUGUCACAGUUAAUAACACAUUGCUGUUCAAUCCCUCA